UUAGAUUUUAUUUAUUAAUUUUAUUUAUUUUAUUUUAGAAUAUUAAAAAUAAUUAUAUAAGAAAAAGUUUUAGUAUUGUUUAAAGAAAAAAUAAUUUUAAUAAUAGUUUAAUAGUAUUGUAAAAGAAAAUUGAAAUAUUUUGAAAAAUUUUUAUUUUAAAAGAAAAUUUAAUUUAUUGUACCUUGUGUAUCAGCGUUUAUUAAAUAAAAAAUAUUUAAAUAUAUUUUUCUCGAUUUUAAAAGAGUUAAUAUAAUAUUAGAGUUAAUGUAAUAAAAUUAUUUUAAAUAUUAUAUUAGAAAUGAAAUGUUAUUCGUUUUUAAAGGUAUCUAGUUUUUCAAGAAAUAAAUUUAAUUUAGAAAUUAUAAAUUUAUUUAAAAAAUUUUUUAAUUAAAUAAUUUAUAAUUUUAAUAUUUUAUGGGAUAAGCUAUAAAAUAAAUUUUUAAAAAUAAUAAAUAAAUUUAAAAUAUAUAUGCUUAGAAUUAGCAAUUAUUAAAAAUUGUGUUAUAAUUUAUUUUAUAAAUUAAAUUAUUUAUUAUAUUUUAAAUUUUUAUUGAAAUAUUAAUUUUAAUUUUUUAAAUUAAGAAAUAAUGAUAGAAUUAGUAUAUUUUAUUGUAAAAUAAAUUUAAAUGAUAAGUUUAAGUAAAG
rnacentral:rRNA from 1 species